AAUCUACCCAUCUCUACGGAACAACUCCGGGAAACUGGAGCUAAUACCGUAUACGUCCUUUUGGAGAAAGAUUUAUCGGAGAUGGAUGAGCCCGCGUUGGAUUAGCUAGUUGGUGGGGUAAUGGCCUACCAAGGCGACGAUCCAUAGCUGGUCUGAGAGGAUGAUCAGCCACACUGGGACUGAGACACGGCCCAGACUCCUACGGGAGGCAGCAGAG
rnacentral:rRNA from 1 species